CUCUGUAUUUAUUAUUGUGCGAUCUACUGUACAAUAUAAAGCGCCUUGAGGCGACUUCUGUUGUGAUUUGGCGCUAUAUAAAUAAAAUUGAAUUGAAUUGAAUUGAAUUUACAUUUUCAGCCUCUAGCAGUAGGACCGUGUUUAGCUGUUUUUGUAGGUUUUACAAAAGCUGCUGCCACAAUUGUGAGACGAGGACAUACUUAAAGAUACACGAAGAUGUCAAAUCCACGAAGUAACAACAGGUCAUUUUGCGUGCAGUGAAGUGAUUUGACAUUUAAUGUUAGGAGCGCCUAUAAAUGCAGUGCUUGGGUAAAAGUACCCGAUUACUUACCCGAGGAGAUCAAGAAGAAGCUGCAGGUGUUAUUUUUGUCCAGCAGGUGGAGAACUCUGAUCACCUGUUGCUGAUUGUGAGUAACGUGAAAGCGAACAGCGCUGGAUUCAAGAACAUCGACACUCUAUAUUUCCAGCUGAAUCUAAAGUGAAUACGCUCAGUUUUCCUUUUACUGUAAUAAUAUAAAUCUUAUGUUGGAAGAGCCCUCCGCUACUUUUUAUGCCAUCUCAUCACAAGCAUGAAGACUAUAAUAUAAAGAGGUUGUUUCUUAUCUUUCGUUCCCAGUUCAGAGGAUUACAGCUUAUCCACAAAGGACCUCCCAGUACUUUAUAUUUUUAGGUCGACCAUGCUGCGAAACCUUCCCUGCGGACUUCCACCUGAAACCCCCAACCAGUGCUCAGUCAGGGUGCCGGGCCUGAGGACUGUGUGUGAGGCAUUCACGUCUCUCUGUGCACGUCAGAGACGGCUGUAGUGCAUGAAGGUGUGUGUGAGCACACACCUAUGAGCCGGGGGACACCCCGACCCUUCAAUCAAGUAUUAGCUGUCAAUAUUUGGACCUCCUUCCUGCUCCCCCCGCUCAUUAGGUGGUGGUGGUGUGAUUUCAUGCUUCUCACCAGGAGGCCUUCGCAAAGUCCCAGUCAGCUGUACAGACGGAUAAAGUGCUAAUUUGUGUGAUAUGAAAUGUUGACACUGUUAUAGUGUUAUAUGUUACAAGGAGGGACAAUAUGAGUGUGGUCAAUAACAUGACAGAUGAAGGAUAUGAAAGGUGCAAAGGCAGAGGCUGUGUGGUGGGCUCUAAACCUCAUUGAUUUACUAUAUUAAUUCAGAAAGAUAAGCACGGGCAGUAGAGGCAGCCAGUUUUAAGAAGAACUGUCGGUUCACAUCAUCCAUCUAUCUAUCUAUCUAUCUAUCUAUCUAUAAACCAGAACAUUGUUACCACCUUAUUUGCAAGUUCUUUUUUUUUUUAAAGCAAAACAUGGCAAUGUAAGUGACUAAAAUAGAGUAAUACAGUUGAGAAAUGCAGCAGCCAUCUACAGUGUAAUAAAACUGUGGCCCUUCUCUCAUCAUUGGACAUCCAGUCUGCUUUUUAUAUGUCACAGGAUAAUGAAAUCCCCUCCUGGUAAAUCUGUUCUGACCUUUUUUUCCCCACUCACCUAGUAUCCAUAUGAUUAUCUGUUCUUUCCUUCACCAGCCCGCUGAUGUUUUUCACCAGUCUGUAGUAAACUUGAGCCCCACGUUCAAGUGGCUGCCUCCUUUGUUUUUUGGCAUUCAAGCUUUUCAGGGAACACAGCAUCAGGAAAUUCAGUCCAGGUUUCAGACUGUGGACGUGGUCAUUAGAUAUAUGGUGUGUGAAACAGAACAAGAACACUUAUAUAAAUAAAAUUAAAUGCAAGUUGUGUCAUUAUCACAUCUGAUGUCCAAAAUUUGAAGUUGAGCUCAUUCGAGAGGCUUCAUAAUUAAACAAAAAGAAUAUUUAAUAUAUUUGAAAUUUGAUAUCUUUCCACUAAUCAAUACAAAAAGUAAAGAAAAUUAUUCCUGAACUCAACUCAGUACUUCCAAGUUUGACCCCAAAUAACAAAAAUUAUCUAAAAAAAGUAUAUAUAUGUAGUUAUUUAUUAACUUUAAAAUAAAUUAUCCACUUACAGACAGAAAAUAUGAUAUUUCUUCAGCAGAUCUCCAAGCCCAUUAAAAUAUCUAUCAGGUUAUAGAACAUACAAAUAAUAUGAAUUUGAAGAGUCCAUUGCGUCCUUCACAUUACAAGCUAACUCCCGAUGAAUUUUCACACAGUCCCUUAAAUAACUUGCCUAAACGUAAACUUUACAGCCUCUUGUUAUUGCUAAUUAUUAGCCUGUCAAUGUGCACCAUGGUGACUUUGCUCAGAAAGGUACAAAAAACAGAUUUGUACUUCACACAGUCCAGUUCAUAUUAUAGUUAUGACUCAGAAAUACUAACAGACUUUGAAUGUGCCCAGUAAGUAUGUCCUUACUGCUUCUAUAGGAAUUAAGAGUGUAAAUAUAUUAACUAAUUAUAAGCAAGUAUGACCAACUCUGUAAAAGCAUAACUUUUGGCACUUUUCUGGUCUGGAUCAUUUAGUUGUGAGUUAACACAAUGUCACAACCUUGGAGUGGAUGCCCCAGCAAAUUCACCUCAACACCAGAUUGUGCAAUACUCUCAGAAAGUGUAAAAAACAAACAACAACAACAAAAAAAACAACAAAAAAACAACAAAAAAACCCAUGUAAAUUUAAAAUUACAGGCCUCAGAACAUGUUAAAUGUUAAUGUUCAUGACAUUACAAUUAAAAAAUAAAGGAACAAGGACAACAUGUUUGGAGGGGCUACCAGGAGAAAGCCUCUCUAAAAAGCACUGGUUCGGUUUGCAAAGUUGCAACUGAUCAAACCACAAAACUUCUGGAACAAUGUCCUUUGCAAAGAUGAGAGCAAAGUGGAGAUGUUUGGCCCCAGAACAUGGGCAUUGAGUCAUUGCAGUCAUUGAGUCGACCAUGAACUCCUCUGAAUACGGAAAGUAUUCCAGAGUCAAAUGUGAAGCAACUUGUCUGACAGCUAAAGUUUGGCCUAAAUUGGAGGAAGACAAAGAUCUCAAGCAAGCAGAAGGACUGAAAAGUAAAAGAAUCGAGGUGUUGCAAUGGCCCAGUUAAAAGUCCAGAGCUCAACCUGAUUGAAAUGUUGCAGAACCUUAAGAGAGCUGUGCAUAAACAAAUGCCCACAAACAUCAAUGAAUCAAAUCAACGGUGUAAAGAAGAGUGUGGCGAAAUUCCCUCACAACCAAGUGAAAGGCUGAUAGUAAUACAGAAAACAAUUACUUCAAGUUAUUGCUGUUAAAGGUGGUUCCUCAAGCUACUGAAUCAUGGUGUGUACUUAGUUUUUCACAGGACUGCAUAGAGACCUGUGAAAAUUUUCUUUUUCACAUGGCUGUAUGAUAUGUGCAGUGGGCUAUGUUCUCUUUGACUAACAGCCUCCCGGGCUGAAACAGGACCAGACACCAUAUCCAUCUUUUCUCAUGCACCAAUUAUCUCAUUCCUCCUCUACAUGUCAGUUAUAUUUUUGCAGUUCUCUAAACCAGCUGUGCAUAUGUGAAAGUCCCCACACUUGCAGUUCACAGCUUUUCCCCCUGUCCUGUCAAAAAAAAGAAAAAAAAAAAAGAAAUCCAGCAUCCGAUUGCCACUUGUCAGAUUUCAGAUUUAAUCUUUGGAAGUUAAACUAACUCUAUCCUUUCAGUUAAUUAUUUACCAUCAAUCAAUCAAUCAAUCAAUCAAUCAAUCAAUCAAUCCAAUGCUGUAUUAAUUACUAUAAGCAAACUAUUUGAACCAUUUGUUAAAAUUUUUUCAGUUUUAACAAUGUAUCCAUUUUUUUAUUUUAAGAUAAAUAUCUCACCAUUUAUUAAUAUAUCACCAUCAUUAUUUAUUUAUUUUGCUGUUUUACCCAUUUAUCCACCAGUAGUAUAGACAUUUAGGGAUUGAGUGUGGGAGGUGUACAGUCCUAAAACUUUUAAAGAAUUGGAAGCACCAAUUUUGACCACAAGUAAAGUAACUUUGUAUGACGAUUACAAGCAUAUCUCUGGUUUGGCCUCAAAUCUACCUGAGCUAUUAACUUCUAUUUGCUCUUAGGUGUAACAUUUUUAAUAGUUAUCAAAGUUUCUAAGUUAUAUAACCUAGAUAUCCCUUUUUUUAAAGUCAGGCUGAGGUACUAUACAGUCUUUCUACUAACUUCUUGAUGGCAAUCAUUGAAUGCUGCUUUGGAAAAUGGUACUGGGGGCUUACUUUGCAUAUUGAACUUUGCGAUCCGUCGUUGUGUACAGUCAGACAUCUUCAACAUGUGUUUUAAAUUUCAACUUUUCAUUCACACUUGAGUCCUGUGAAGGAGGCUGGUCCAGUUCAGUUCGAGGUGCAAAACGUGGUUUAAGGGCAGCAUCAGGGUUAGAUCACAAGUCAGAAACAAAAGAAGGAACGUACUCUGGAGUGAUGGAAACACAUCUCUGUGCAUGAAUUUCCUAAUGCUUUCAUAACAUUCUGAAGCGCACACAGCUUGAAUCAUUUUUGCUUUGAUGAUGAGCUAACAAAAUAACAUCACCUCAAAACAAAAAAUGUAGAGAAUCUGGUCGUCGUGCAUCUGUGACUGCUGUGAACCACACUGAACAUGGAACGAAUGGCUCAAAAUAAAUUUACAUAGCAGAAACAGAUGCGCUGUUGCACAUCUGUGAGUAACGCACAGUGCUGCACCAGCCUGCACAUUUUCACUGGGUUUUGCUGUCCGAAACAUUAAAUGCAGCCGUGUGCGGUUAGAUCUGUGAAGACUAGUGCUGCAACAGGAAACACUUAGGAUUGUGGCCUUUUCUGGAUUACAUUGGUUGCGCUGUUGCCUAGACAACAGUAAUUAGAAAAGACUAGGUUACCAAGCAGAGAGCGGUUAUGUUUCCUUAGCAACCAAGGUCAGGGAGAAGGCUCUGUGUUUACCUGAUUCUGAGGAAGGAGACAGAUACAACACAUCUGUCAUUGUAGUAAGUAUUGGGAGGCGUCAGGUUCAUGCAGUCAUCUAUUUUCCCUGCUUGCACUGAAGACUGUAACUUUAGCACCACAGUAACCUGACUGCUUCUUAAUACAUCUGUGCAGAAAAUAGAGCAUGUGUCAAUUUCCAGCCUAACUGUCAGCGCAAGCUUUAAAACACACGGAUAAUACGAGGGGGAAGGAAUCUGUUAGGAGAGCUGAGGAGAGCACACAGUGUCCUCCUAUAUGUAGGCCUGUGUGUGCCCGCUGCGUGCUCUUCCUGUAAUUAGUUGAUUAUCACAGCUUGUCGUCACACACAAGCUUACACAAACAUGCUAUAAUGACAAUGACAUAACAGGGCCUCCUUAAGCAUCAGUCUACCGUUUUGUCACUCCUCUACUCACCGCUUCUAUCAUUCAUCUUCCCUUUGCCUCGAAGCCCUUUUAGUCCGCCUGUCAGACAAAGACAGACACACACACACACAAGCUUCCCAUGUCCACGUGUAACCAGAGGCUAUGAGAACACUUAAUCCCUCAGCACCUGCUUUCCAUACAACUGUGACCUCUCUGCAGCUGGCUCGGUGUGCGCCUUGUUGCCUUUACAUGUUCAUAUCAGUGCCAGGAAGGAGGAGGGAGGUGUUAAUUAAUUUGCAUAUUUGUAGAUUUGUUUGUAUCCGUGUGUUUUUAGUGACACAUUUAAGCUUAAAAACAUGGCCAGCGCUGUAGUGCGGAGAACAGAUGGAGUGGGUAUAACAUGGCAUCGUUAUGAUCCCAUACAGUGCAGCAGAACAGACUGCAAGGAUCAGCUUUUCAAAUUAAAUAUGAUGACACUUACACUGUGUCCUGUCUGCUCUCUGUACGCAGGUCCAACGAGUGCCAGCAUCACUUCUGGUGCUUUAUAAAGCCUCUAAACACACAGCUAGUUAAAAAAAAAAAAAAUUGUUCAGGUUUAGAGAUGAAAAGGGAAAAAAUAUUGAAAAGGAUGCAGAUUACUUGUUUCUGUACUCUAAAGCGUGUGAAUAAAUGAAUUCAUAUAGAAGAAUCUGAAGCAAAGAAUAAUUAUUUAUAGGGAACAACAACGCUGCUUAAAUCUUGAGACACACACACACACACACACACACACACACACACACACACACACACACACACACACACACACACACACAGCUAAAACAGUACCCAAAAUGUAGAUCAUUUUAUUGCCAUAAAAUAUAUACAAACAGUAGCAUGUAAAUUAAAAACAAAAACAAAAAAACAAACAAACUGUAAAACAAAUAUAAAAUAACACGACCUCUUUCCACAUCCAUGUGAGGAAAAAGAAAGUUUGCUUGACUGCUGCUCACCGACCAGAUAAGAAAUUCGGACCUGAA